UACCAGCACCCCGAGUGGUCGGGACGAUUAUUGGGCCUAAAGCAUCCGUAGCCGGCCUUACAAGUCUUCCGUUAAAUCCAACUGCUUAACAGGUGGGCUGCGGAAGAUACUAUAGAGCUAGGAGGCGGGAGAGGCAAGCGGUACUCGAUGGGUAGGGGUAAAAUCCGUUGAUCCAUUGAAGACCACCAGUGGCGAAGGCGGCUGCCAGAACGCGCUCGACGGUGAGGGAUGAAAGCUGGGG
rnacentral:rRNA from 1 species